rnacentral:rRNA from 1 species
AACGAACGCUGGCGGCAGGCUUAACACAUGCAAGUCGAGCGCCCCGCAAGGGGAGCGGCAGACGGGUGAGUAACGCGUGGGAAUCUACCCAUCUCUACGGAAUAACGCAUGGAAACGUGUGCUAAUACCGUAUACGUCCUUCGGGAGAACGAUUUAUCGGAGAUGGAUGAGCCCGCGUUGGAUUAGCUAGUUGGUGGGGUAAAGGCCUACCAAGGCGACGAUCCAUAGUUGGUCUGAGAGGAUGAUCAGCCACACUGGGACUGAGACACGGCCCAGACUCCUACGGGAGGCAGCAGUGGGGAAUAUUGGACAAUGGGCGCAAGCCUGAUCCAGCCAUGCCGCGUGAGUGAUGAAGGCCCUAGGGUUGUAAAGCUCUUUCACCGGUGAAGAUAAUGACGGCAACCGGAGAAGAAGCCCCGGCUAACUUCGUGCCAGCCGCCGCCGUAAAAC